CCUACGGGAGGCAGCAGUGAGGAAUAUUGGUCAAUGGACGAGAGUCUGAACCAGCCAAGUAGCGUGAAGGAUGACUGCCCUAUGGGUUGUAAACUUCUUUUAUAUGGGAAUAAAACGUUCCACGUGUGUGAUUUUGUAUGUACCAUAUGAAUAAGGAUCGGCUAACUCCGUGCCAGCAGCCGCGGUAAUACGGAGGAUCCGAGCGUUAUCCGGAUUUAUUGGGUUUAAAGGGAGCGUAGGUGGAUUGUUAAGUCAGUUGUGAAAGUUUGCGGCUCAACCGUAAAAUUGCAGUUGAAACUGGCAGUCUUGAGUACAGUAGAGGUGGGCGGAAUUCGUGGUGUAGCGGUGAAAUGCUUAGAUAUCACGAAGAACUCCGAUUGCGAAGGCAGUUCACUGGACUGCAACUGACACUGAGGCUCGAAAGUGUGGGUAUCAAACAGGAUUAGAUACCCGUGUAGUC
rnacentral:rRNA from 1 species